CGAGGCUGGGGAUGGGCUUUAUCGUUACCUAUGUAUAUGACGUGUUUACAUGCCAUUUUACCUUCUCCUUCUCACUUCCGUCUCUCCACGUCUGUUAACGUUUGGGUUUCUAGGGUUCAAACAACAAUGGAGGUUUGGAAAGGUUGUCUGAGACGGUCUUUGUAAAGAGUCUGUGGGUCGAGCUUCGUUGGUGUCGUUUCGUAUGAGAUUCUUCUCCUCCAACCAUUACGAGAUGCAUUGAUCCAUCACUCAAUCAAUGCAUAUUCCCUCUCUACAAGGCAGUGAUCUCCAGCUAUAAAAAGCUCCUUUGCCGCUGAAUCAUCAUCACCAUCAUACAGGAUCUAACCAUGUAACGCCUCUCACGGUCGUUUCUGUCAAGAACCUCUGCUAGAGAUAUUCAGUUCCUGUCGACAGAGAAAUCGUGGAGAAGAUGGUAUACAGACUUUAAACUAUGAUUUCAAGUGAGGAGGUUGGUCUUCUAAAUAUGCUUUUUGUUAGGUAGAAUUCACUUACAGGCUAUCAUAUAUGGAGAUGAUGUUUGUUUUGUGUUUGAGUUUAUAUGUGUGUUUUCAGGCACUUUGAGUGUUUGAGAGUAGAUGGACUGAGAUAACAAAGGUGGGUUCAUCCAGUAAGGAUAAUGAUGUGAAGAACAUGUUUAAGCCACGUUGUUGUAAGAAGAGAGCCAAGUAUGAAACAAUGGACAGCAAGAACAGCUCAAACAAGAAAAUAAUAUUGUUCUUAGACGAUUGUACUAUUCCAGUAAAGACGAAUAUGAAAAUUAUAUUGCCAAGAGAACAAGGAACUUGCUCCAUAUAAGGGAUUGGGCUGAGGAUGAAGCGAGAAGAAAAAGAGAGCAGGAUGUGUUAAAAAAAAAAAAAGAACAAGCAAGCAAGAAGUGUUGGACGAAGCUAGAGGACGCUGGGAAAAGUAUGGCCUAGAAAUAAUUGUUGAAGGUGAACUACAUGAACAUACAACAACUGCGUCUAUGUAGCUGAAAGUGGGAAUGCAAAAUCAUGUCGAAGGCAGCAUGAAAAGAGCUUAAAAAAUAUGGUUGCUAAGCUCAAAAAGAUGGCGAAAAGAUGUAGGAAAUAAAUCCACACAGAAGUUAUCUACUCUAUUAAAAAAACAGAUACGUCUGUUCAUAUCAUCAUUGAAAGAAUAAGUUUAUGGAUUAAGCAACAAA